AUCAUAAAAUAAAAAAAUCAUAGGUAUAUUGAUCAUGACUGGCGAAUGGUCCCUAUUGAUUUUCAGGUCACUUGGUCAAAGGUCAAGGUCACAGUGAAUCAAAAUACUAAAAUGGUUUCUGGAAGAUAACUCAACAAUGCUUACGCCUAAGAUCAUGAACUUCAUAGGAACAUUGAUCAUAACUGGCAGAUGACCUCUAUUGAUUUUCAGGUCACUAGGUCAAAGGUCAAAGGUCACAGUGACUCAAAACAGUAAAAUGAUUUAUGGAUGAUAACUCAAGAAUGCUUACGCCUAGGAUCAUGAAACUUUAUAGGAACAUUGAUCAUGACUGGGAGAUGACUCCUAUUGAUUUUCCGGUCACUAGGUCAAUGUCACAGUUACUCGAAACAGUAAAAUGGUUUCAUGAUGAUAACUCAAGAAUGAUUACGCAUAGGACCAUGAAACUUCAUAGGUACAUUGAUAAUGACUGGCAGAUGACCCCCUUCAUAGGUACAUUGAUAAUGACUGGUAGAAGACCCCUAUUGAUUUUCAGGUCACUAGGUCAAAGAUUAAGGUCAUAGUGACUCAAAACAGUUUAAUGGUUUCCUGUUGAUAGCUCAAGAAUACUUAGGUCUAUGAUCAUGAAACUUCUCAAGUACAUUGAUCAUGACUGGCAGAUGACCCCUAUUGAUUUUCAGGUCACUAGGUCAAAAGUCAAGUUCACAGUGACAAAAACGUUUUCACAAUGGCUGCCACUACAACUGACAGCCCAUAUGGGGGGCAUGCAUGUUUUACAAACAGCCCUUGUUCUGUGUUAAAAUUAUGUACACGUCUGCGUUAAAUAAAUAUGUUCACAUUUGAAAUAAAGCUAAAAAUGUG